rnacentral:rRNA from 1 species
CCUACGGGUGGCAGCAGUAGGGAAUCUUUCACAAUGGGCGAAAGCCUGAUGGAGCAACGCCGCGUGCAGGAUGAAGGCCUUCGGGUUGUAAACUGCUUUUAUAAGCGAGGAAUAUGAUGGUAACUUAUGAAUAAGGAUCGGCUAACUACGUGCCAGCAGCCGCGGUCAUACGUAGGAUCCGAGGAUUAUCCGGAGUGACUGGGUGUAAAGAGUUGCGUAGGUGGCAUAAUAAGUAGCUAGUGAAAUCUGGUGGCUCAACCAUUCAGACUAUUAGCGAAACUGUUAAGCUCGAGACCGUUAGGGGUAACUGGAAUUUCUAGUGUAGGAGUGAAAUGCGUAGAUAUUAGAAGGAACACCAAUAGCGUAGGCAGGUUACUGGGACGGUUCUGACACUAAGGCACGAAAGCGUAGGGAGCAAACGGGAUUAGAUACCCCAGUAGUC